ensembl:lncRNA uncharacterized protein C2orf72 homolog
GGUGUAUCUGAUGACCGUGAGGAAGUUUGCUACUCACCGGUCAGGAAGGUGGUUGGGGAUGACCUGACCUGUUCAUUGUAAAUAAAAUAAAUCCGCGCAGCCUCCACUGCGCAGGGAUGGAGGAUUCAGCCCCCGCAGUGGACACGUUGCCCGAGGAGGAGAGGGAGUUCCAGAAGAUUAUAGCGCAGAUUGGAGGGAAAGAGAGGAUUUAUUUGGUCAGUGAAGCCUGCGAAAGUAAAGAGGUGGAUGGAGAUAACGCUGGGAUAUUCCAAGAAUUCAUAUGUGACAUGUUUCACAGCGGCAGCUUUGCAAAGAGUAACGGACAGCCCGAAUCCCCUUCGUCAAGCUGUCAUGGCGAACCGGCGACAGAAAGCCAGGAUUUAUGUGAAACGGAGGCUGCUCAAAGCAGCGACACACCUCUGACAGUGAGGCCCAAGGAUUUGGAACUGAGAGAGUAUUCUGUGGGAAAGGACGGAGAGAAGGAGGACCGUCUAACGUGCAACGGCGACGCUCAGAGGACAGCGACAAGGAGGGCUAACAUCUACAGCAUAAAGAGGGCCAUAGACUCUCCUGUCAUCGUAUUUCUCUUCAGACAGACAUUUAUCAACAAAAGUCUCAACCAACUGUGCUUAAAAGAGAUCUUGAAGGACAUAAAGGCGCGGACGAAACGUGCCAGAAUAGCUCGACCGGCUUUGAUUGGAUUAAUACGCACCACGCAUGAGAGCGCUGAGACGCGUCAGUGUGCGCAGCUCCUGGAGUGUCUGAUCCGCUCAGUUUUCCAUAAACAUUCCCCAGAGACUAUAUGGGUCGGCUGCUUCAUCCCGAAAACAGAGGCCACAGUGCUGAGCAUCAAGAAAAACGCCUGCAAAGUUAUUUACUCAUCUCAAACUGCAGAUAAUACCAGGGAUAGAGGGAACCCGCUUCUCUGGCCAUUUCAAUGUUGGCUCGGGUCUCCGAGAAGAGAAGCCAGAAGACAGACCAACAGCUCUUCAAGCAGCAGGCAAAAAGGUGACACUGAAAGUGCGGAGGAAGGCAUCCCUCUAAAAACCAGGGCUUUGUCUGCUGGACAUGACAAGAAUGGAGAAGCAGCUGAAAGAGACAGCUCAUGUCAGGAUACAUGACCUGCAGGCCUUAUAACGGUGGUCAUGUUUUUACUGUAAAAAAACAAAACAAAACAAAAACUGGCAAUAUAGAGCUACAGGUUUAGAUUUAUGGUGCUCCACCCCCCUUAUCUGAGCCAACAUUAUUCGUUGCAUCUUUACACAUUGUCUUACACAACAGAAACAGAAACUAGUCACUUUGCCUAUUGCAGAUUGAGCCUGCAGUAUUACGAGGUUAGACCGCAACGUGUGUGCCUACAAUCUGAUGUGUUUUGUUGAUUGAAAAAUAUACCACUAAAGCACAAUAUCAGCUGACAUAGGGCCAAAGCAUCAUUAACAGACCUUAUUGCUAAAAGGGUCUCCCUGUUGUCUUUAGUGUUAAAGAAUUACACAGUUCAUCUCACACCAGAUUCUGGCUUACAAAAUGUUUACCUGCUGCAUAGAGAAAUGGGAAAAACUGGAGGCUGAGUUUUUUUUUAUUUUACUCUCUAUUCACAUAUGAAUUUAGUGCCUUAGAUGUGCUCUUGACAUUAACAUUUUUUCUAAUACAAACAUAGCACUGCUUCUUUCUUUGUAUUGAUCUAGAUCACUGGUCUGUUCCUUUAAAUAAAAACAUUUCAACCUGG